AAAACAUAUAGCCUACAUACGGUAUAUUGCGACAGUUGUGUGAAUAGGCUCCGCGGUUUUCUUAUUAAAUAUGUUCUGUCAGUGUCUCAUCUACUGACUACGUGGUGGUUAGUACAUUUGUAGAAAUCGAACCAAGGUGAAUUACAGGAGAAGGUGAUUUACUCAAUCCAACCAGGAGACUGGGUGUGGAUCCAGUCCCUGAGGAGAAAAGACUGGAAGCAGCCCCUUUGGGAAGGCCUAUACCAGGUUCUGUUAAACCACCGCCUUUGCCAUUAGAAUAGCUGAGGAAGUCACUUGGGUCCACGUUACCCACUGCAAAAGGGUAUGUACACAUACAAGCACUGCUGCUCACACACAGAGUUAGGAGAGGAACCGAGUACCAACAGGGUCCAGGGAACUUAGAUGAUUUUAAUGGCUGAAAGGUAAUCGUUGAUGUGACUGACUUAGGUUUGGAAGUACAGGAGACUAUUCUUAACCUCACAGCAGCUAUACCUGAUGUAGGGUGGGCUCGUACCAGCAAAGGACGCAUACGACAGAAACUACCAAAAAGGGUGGUUAGGAACUUGCGCCCCGGGGUUAUUGGUCCAACCAGUUCGGCUUAGUCAUCAGAGGCCAGUAUUAGGAGGCUAUAAAGUAGGCACAGGAGGAGUUUUGACCAGGAUGGGAGUAGCUUUGUCUAGAUGGAUGCUAUUGGCAUCCCCAGGGAAGUUCCAGAUGAACACAAACCUAUGAAUCAAAUAGGUGAAGGCUUUACCACUACAUUAUUUUGGUGGUUGACAAUAAAUAAAAAUGUGGAUUGGAUUAGUGACUAUAAUAGUGAUCUAUUAUAAUCAACAGAGAUUUGUGAAUGAUUCUGGGGAUGUAGUAAAGGGGUUCUCUGACCAAUUAUCCGCCACCUCCCUCAUGACCUGGUAAAAUAGACUGACUCGAUAUGUUAUUGGCAGAAAAGGGCGGGGUAUGUAGAAUGAUUGGGGUUCAUUGCUGUACGUUUAUAUACUUUUUAAUAAAACAGCUCCAGACGGAUCAGUGACCAAGGCCCUGGCAGGUUUGACCACAUUAGCUCAUGAGUUAGCAGAGAACUCUGGGGUGGAUACUUCCCUGACAGGGUGGUUCGAUAGCAUGUUUGGGAAAUGGAAAAAUAUUGUAAGUACUGUAUUUUGGGCUGCUUUCACAUGUAUGAGUGUGUUGGUGUUGUGUGGAUGCUGUUUGGUCCCAUGUGUGAGAGGUUUGAUCACCAGAACUCUAGAGAGAUCGAUGACCAACAGAUGGUGAGAUAUGGACCGAUUCCGAGCUCCAACCAGUGGGAUGACGAAUACAGGCCUCCAGGCCUAGGAGAUGGCUCCGUUUCUUUUAACCAUAAGGAGCCAUUGUUAGAUGAGACUAUCUUCAAUGUUUCGACAGACUGUUCCUUUAAUGAAGAUUGUAAUAAAAAUCACAAAAAGAAGGGUUAUAAUUGGAUAUAGGCCUAGAGCAGUCGAUGAUAAGUAUCUGAUGUAAAUACAUGAAUUGGUUUUGUUUGAUUUUAUGUAACAUUUUUGAUUCCAUAUGACGGUGGAUGUAUCAGUGUGUAUUAUUUAGUCAUUAAGGGUGGA
ensembl:lncRNA